CAGUAGCCACGGGAAUACAGAGGGUGCGAGCGUUAAUCGGAUUUACUGGGCGUAAAGCGUGCGUAGGCGGCUAAUUGAGUCGGAUGUGAAAUCCCCGAGCUUAACUUGGGAAUUGCAUUCGAUACUGGUUAGCUAGAGUGUGGGAGAGGAUGGUAGAAUUCCAGGUGUAGCGGUGAAAUGCGUAGAGAUCUGGAGGAAUACCGAUGGCGAAGGCAGCCAUCUGGCCUAACACUGACGCUGAGGUACGAAAGCAUGGGGAGCAAACAGGAUUAGAUACCCCUGUAGUCCCUGUCUCUUAUAA
rnacentral:rRNA from 1 species